rnacentral:rRNA from 1 species
GAUGAACGCUGGCGGCGUGCCUAAUACAUGCAAGUCGAGCGAACGGACGAGGAGCUUGCUCCUUUGAAGUUAGCGGCGGACGGGUGAGUAACACGUGGGUAACCUACCUAUAAGACUGGAAUAACUCCGGGAAACCGGGGCUAAUGCCGGAUAACAUGUUGAACCGCAUGGUUCAACAGUGAAAGACGGUCUUGCUGUCACUUAUAGAUGGACCCGCGCCGUAUUAGCUAGUUGGUGGGGUAACGGCCUACCAAGGCGACGAUACGUAGCCGACCUGAGAGGGUGAUCGGCCACACUGGAACUGAGACACGGUCCAGACUCCUACGGGAGGCAGCAGUAGGGAAUCUUCCGCAAUGGGCGAAAGCCUGACGGAGCAACGCCGCGUGAGUGAUGAAGGUCUUCGGAUCGUAAAGCUCUGUUGUUAGGGAAGAACAAAUGUGUAAGUAACUGUGCACGUCUUGACGGUACCUAACCAGAAAGCCACGGCUAACUACGUGCCAGCCGCCGCCGUAAAA